ACACACACACACACACACCAGACAGGGGCAAGAAUGGGACUGUUUCCAGGGAGAGCUGGCCUCUGAGGGGGUUGUGCGGUGCAUACAGGUCCAAUCUGGUUCCAGGCAGCUGGUGCCCCUGGGCAUGGGGCUGAGAUAAAGCGUCCCCAGCCCCAGUGCUCUCAGGCUGCCCGGGACACACAGCUGCUGGGCUGCAGUAGGCACGUUGCCUCUCCCUAACCCAAGCCUCAUAGUCCCUGAAAGGUGACCUGUGGGGGCACCAUGCUGCUCCCUGCCCCCCUCCUUAGGAUGGCAUGGGCACUUACUAACGGGUAAGCAGCCCACCCCAGAGCCCUCCACUAAGAUCCUUUUCCUCCUGCCCCAUGACUGGCACCCUCUGGGGCAGCCAGGCUCCCCCCCUGACUUCAGCCUCCUCUUCAGUUCAAUAACUUCCCUGGGCAUUGGCUUUGGGGGAGCAGGGUCACAGGACAGGGCUCCUGGGUUACAGAGGGGCAGUGGCAGCAUCUGUCCUUCCUCCAUCUGUGAGCAGGCGGUGGUGUGAACACACUGAGACCAUUCCGGUAGAGGAGGAAAUGACACCCCGUCAGGAGGACCUGGUGCCCUGUACCAACCUCUACCAUUACCGGUGCCUGGGCUGGCGGCUGGACCUGUCCUGGAGUGGACGUGCAGGGCUCUGUCCCAUCUACACAUGAGUGAGGGUCAGAGCCUGCACUGGCUGCAGAGCAGGAAGGAGUGAAAGGACCACAUCCUGAGUGGGGGAGGACUGGGUGGUGACCUGGAGAAGCAGGCCUUUGGGAAGUAGGUCUGGGUGGGCUCUCAAAGGGCAGAGAGUGCGGGAUGGGGGGUGGGUAGGUGGGGUGGGUGAGUGGGCAUCACUGUGAGCAGCCCACAGAGAGGCUCGAUGUCUGCUCCCGUGCCUGCCCUCCAGUCUGCCUUCCCAAGUUCAUCUCCUUUGCAUGUGGGGAAAUGAAGACCAAGAAGGGAAAUUAUAUUCGUAAGAUAAAGCCACUCAGUAGGUAACCAGAUUGAAUGAGUGUCCCAGGCCAUUCCUGGGGAUGGUGCUGGGCUGAAUGCUAAUGUCUUUCUCCCUUCCACCUGCUCGGUGGACCCAGGCCCCCAGGAACCCGGCCUGCUGCAUGGAACUGGACAGUGAGGGCUUGCUGCCCAGGCUGAGGGGGGCACACACUGCACCCUGGCCCUUGCAGAAGCCAGCCAAGAGGGCCACUGCUUUGCCACGUGGCAAUGCCAGCCUCGAGCAGGCUCAGCUAACGCUUCUGCAGGAAGCCUGGAGGAGUGCUGUGCCUGGCCGUGGGGACGCAGCUUGCAGGAUGGCCACUCCCAGGUCUGCCUCAGCUGCUCUAGCCAACAGCUGCCAGGCAGCACCCCCUCUCCGGCACUCCUGCAGCCCCUGGCAGGGGCUGUGGCCCGACUCUGGAGACAGCGCCUGCAUCCCUUGGCCACCUGUGCCAGCUGGUCCGGCUAGUCCACUACUGCACCUUUGACGGGCGCCACUACCACUUCCUGGGCCGCCGCACCUACCUGCUGGCUGGAGCUGCUGAUUCCAUCUGGGCUGUCUACCUCGAGCCCAUAGGCCAUUGUCCCCAGCCUGGGCACUGUCAGCUGCCUGGGUGUCUGGAUGCAGUGGAGGCAGCCCAGGGCUAUGAGGACCCCUGAAGGGCACAGAGGCAGGCAUGGAGGCUGGCCAGCUGCAGACUGAAGCCCAGGAUGUGUGCCACCAGCUGCUGGAUGGUCCCUUCAGGGAAUGAUGCCAUGCCCAGAGCGCCUGUGCCUGAGAGGCCAGUUGUACACUGACUGCUCCGCUGUGGGUGUAGGAGGCGAGGAGUCUUGCAGGGAAGACGGCGUGAGCGGCUGUGAAUGCCCGCCAGGCCUCUUCUGGGACGCUCGCUGUGCGCCUGCCGCCCGUUGCCCCGGCUACCUCCAACGCCAGCGCUACGCCCCCAGUGACAGAGUGCACCAGCUGUGCAACCCGUGAUGGAUCCGCAGACCUUGCUGGCCCGUUUGCUGGAGUUGGAGGCGCCCGGUCCCCUCUGUUCCCCCGCCCUCCCCCCAUGCUGUCUCCUCAACCUGCCUCCCCUUAUGGGGUCCCCCUCACAAGUGGCCUGUGACCUCUCAAUACAUAAUGGAUGACCCUGCUUAACAAUCUACAUCUGCUGACCACCAGCACCAGGGGCUUGCGAGGCGGAAGGUCAUCUCCAGCUCAGCAUGCCCCAGCCCCCGCGGGGGGCUGACCCAGAGUGCGAGUGCGCCCACAGCGUGGGUCAGGACGGCUGCUGGCUCUGCGCAGGCGCCGUGCCUGGCCGAGUGCAUGGUGGGCGGGGACGGGCACUACCUCACCUUCGAUGGGCGGAGCUUCUCCUUCCGCCGCAGCCCAGGUUGCCGCUCCAGCCUGGUGCAGGACUUCGCCAAGGGACAGCUGCUGAUCGCACUGGAGCAUGGGGCCUGCGACUCUGGGAGCUGCCUCCACGCCAUCUCUGUCUCCCUGGUGGACACCCAUGUCCAGCUCAGGGACUCAGCUCUCAGGUAGCCUCUGCUCCCAGCAGCCCUCAGGACUGUGUCUCAGGCCCUACUGGUCUGCGGACACUGCUCUUCUCCCUGUGGACUCUGGCUCAGUCCCACACCUUCUGCCCACACUACCCUGUGGUUUCUGAGCCCAAACCUCCCCUCAAACUUCCGCAACCAAGCUCACUGCCUCCAUUUCCUCUCACCUUCCCUUCCCAUCUCUGAAGCAGACACCCAGUCCUGUGGACAUUUUCCAAGGCAUGUUUUGCCUCAUCCUGAGGGGGAAAUGCAAGCUGUAUAGUUGUGAGAGGUGGGACAGGCCUCAGGACAGAACCAGACCAAUCAGGCCCCUCCCAGCUCUUCACCCACAGUCCCUCCCACUGUCUCUCCCUGUGUGUGCUCCUCCUAUGCACUGACUCCAAAGGCAAAGUGGGUACUGAGGGUGGCCUUUAGGCCAUGUGGGGGGUGCUCAGAGGGAACAAGUGACUUCCGGGGGUCAUCCGGUUCCUCUUGCUCAGUGUGGGCGGUCCACUGUAACACAGGCCCUUCCACCUCCCACCCAAGGUUCUUCCCCUUUUCGCAGCCCCAUCCUGUGAUGUGCUCUCCCCUUACCCUCAUCAGCCCAGCCUUGCCCUGUGAGGCAGCCCCCUCAUCAGUCCCCUAUUCCAGGAGCUGUCCUGGUUGACGGCCAAGAUGUGAGCCUGCCCUGGAGUGGCCCUGUGGGCCUCAGCAUCUCCAGAGCCUCCUCCACCUUCCUGCUACUAUGCUGGCCUGGGGCUCAGGUCCUCUGGGGAGAGGGGGUGUCUGACCCUGCAGCCUACAUCACCCUGCAGCCUACAUCACGUCAUGCCAUCAGGUGGCCCAGGUGCAGGGUCUGUGUGGCACCUUCACCUGGAACCAGCAGGAAGACUUCCUGACACCCGCUGGUGAUGUGGAGACCAGC